rnacentral:rRNA from 1 species
UACGUAGGGACCAAGCGUUGUUCGGAUUUACUGGGCGUAAAGGGCUCGUAGGCGGCCAACUAAGUCAGACGUGAAAUCCCCAGGCUCAACUUGGGAACUGCAUCCGAUACUGGAUGGCUUGAAUUCGGGAGAGGGAUGCAGAAUUCCAGGUGUAGCGGUGAAAUGCGUAGAUAUCUGGAGGAAUACCGGUGGCGAAGGCGGCAUCCUGGACCGACAUUGACGCUGAACGGCGAAAGCUAGGGGAGCAAACGGG